ACACAGGUGGUCCCCAAACCCUUUCUUCCCAGCAGGGCUUGAAUUAUCUUUGUGUCUUUAAGGGGGUCUCUCUAUCUAAUAAAAAGUUGGCACAUCCCGCGCAUAGCCUAAAGGCGAUACAAUUAAAUAGCCUAGGCGCGAGUGCCGCUUUUGCGCAGUAUGCGCACGGUAGCCCUAUAGGCUAUAACUUGACACACGCACACAACUGACAGAGAUUUUUCAUAGAAAUUGAUUCCUUUUAAUUAAU